rnacentral:rRNA from 1 species
GAUGUACGCUAGCGGCAGGCUUAACACAUGCAAGUCGAGGGGUAGAGGCUUUCGGGCCUUGAGACCGGCGCACGGGUGCGUAACGCGUACGCAAUCUGCCUUGUACUGGGGGAUAGCCCAGAGAAAUUUGGAUUAAUACCCCAUAGUAUUUUCGGUUGGCAUCAACUGAUUAUUAAAGUUUUUCGGUACAAGAUGAGCAUGCGUCCCAUUAGCUAGUUGGUAUGGUAACGGCAUACCAAGGCUACGAUGGGUAGGGGUCCUGAGAGGGAGAUCCCCCACACUGGUACUGAGACACAGACCAGACUCCUACGGGAGGCAGCAGUGAGGAAUAUUGGUAAAUGGUCGCAAGACUGAACCAGCCAUGCCGCGUGCAGGAUGAAGCAUCUAUGGUGUGUAAACUGCUUUUGUACGGGAAGAAACACUCCUACGUGUAGGGGCUUGACGGUACCGUAAGAAUAAGGAUCGGCUAACUCCGUGCCAGCAGCCGCCGUAACAC